CACCUGUGCCCACACACCUUCCUAUGACCCACACGUCAAUUUGGAGGACUCUGUGUCACCGAUUGUUAGCUCAUCCUCAUCGCCUAUCUCUAAAACAGUCACUCCAAACGCCAGUCCCACUUUCCUCCAACAACAGGCACAAUUUAGCGGCACUUCAUCACUUUCCGGUCAGGGGAAGGUAAUUCCCAACAGGACUCGGUGCAAAGGGCAGCGGGCUGUAUAUCCAUCAAGGGGGUCGGAACCUCUCCAACUCGGCAUCCCCCGAGUGUCCAGCGCCGGCCCCUGCCGCUGCUCCUCCCCCCUUCCUCCACAAAACGAUCGAGAAGCCUCCCAGGGGCCCGAGUUCAACCAGCCAUUCGAGACCGAGGAUCUGUGGGAAAGAAUGGAUCCCUAGGCCGAUACACACAUCUGGUCCUACAGGGGCCUACACUGGCCCGGUCCCCUCCAAACCGAGAAAACCCUCCUCUAAAUCACCUUUCGGACUCCCCUCCCGUCGCGCCAGCUGGUUCCAGGCGGUCUCAGCUAUCCCUACAAUACGAUGGCACUGGAAAAAGAGCCUCUCUUGGUCCCCUCUAAUUUUGACAUCUGAUUCUAUGAAGAUGAGAGUACCACUCCCUUGAGGAAUUAGAGGCAUCCAAGUAUCCAGUAUAUAAUUUGCUUAUCCAUGUUUGGACAAUUGAAGCGUUGUUUGGAAGACGAGCCUAUGUCUGGCUGUGAGGGAAGAUGGCUGAUGAUGAAUGCUUGACAAUCUUCAUCUUCAAGACAUCUGAGUAAAAGAAUUUCCUUGUUUUUCGGGAUUCUUUAUGACAUAAACUUGAGAAAACCUGAUCUCCACGAUUGUCAGCAGGGAUGGAGGCUGGUCAUGAAAGAGAAAUACCAUACUGUAGAGGUUUACAGAAACCGUGUAAAUAACUAUCCUGGAGUCGCGCAGCAGUGCUCACCACACCUGAAAAGUCACCUAAGUAACUGGACUCUAAGAGAUGGCGAUCAGUGUAGCAGCCUGGUUCUCUACGAGAAACAGGGAGAGACAGCUUUUCUCCCAGAGCGUCUUCAGUGAUUGCUGCGAGAAAGAAUGAGAAAAGGUUUGAAGAAUAAAGAGUUGCAGAAAACCAACUUACUGUCAUACAUAAGCCAUGCAGCCCCCAGGCAUAGUACUUAUGUAUCUCCUUUUGUUGAGUUCUCUAUUUUUUAUGAAUAUGAAUAUUGAGGAAAAAACUCCCAUCUGCUCUCUUUUAGCUGAUUCUAUCACAUUUCUGAGUUGUGCAUCAUUAUGGAGCUUCAGAGAAAGAUGAUCAUUUACAUUGCAUAUGGAUAUAAAGAAGAGAAAGAGUUGAUGAAUUGCAAACAAGUAUCAUUUAUAUGGACAAAAUGUGCCAGAAGUGCUUUUCACCCCAUUUUACUCAGCAAAUGGAAUGAUUCCUGCCCAUUCCCUUGGCCUGGUGCCCGAGAACUCUGCGAAAAACAAUCCUGUUAGCUUUAUGGAUCAGGUUCACACUCCUACCCUGUGGGGCAGUGGUGUUCUGCCAUGUACCCCGAAGGUCAAAAGAGACCACUGAAAAUACUAAUGCCAUUUUUUUUUACA